GGGCGAUUAGCUCGAGGGAGAGCGCUUCCUUCACACGGAAGAGGCCACUGGUUCGAUACCAGUAUCGCCCACCA
rnacentral:tRNA from 1 species